GUGGAUGCAGUGUGUGUGUUGCAUUAGUGUAUGCAGUGUGUGUGUUAGUGUAUGCAGAGUGUGUGUUGUAUUAGUGUAUGCAGAGUGUGUGUUGUGUUAGUGUAUGUAGUGUAUGUGUGUUGUUUUAGUGUAUGCAGUGUGUGUGUGUUGUGUUAGUGUAUGCAAUGUGUGUGUUGUUUUAGUGUAUGCAGUGUGUGUGCUGUGUUAGUGUAUGCAGAGUGUGUGUUGUGUUAGUGUAUGCAGUGUGUGUGUGUUUUGGUAGUGUAUUCAGUGUAUGUGUUGUUUUAGUGUAUGCAGUGUGUGUGUGUUGUGUUAGUGUAUGCAGUGUGUGUGUGUAAAUGUGCAAUCUGGGUGGGGGGAGGGGGAGGAAGGGGCAUUUUAACAUUAAUUUUUUAUUAAUUUAAUUAAAUGUUUCUCCCCCCUCCCUGUUUCUUACCUGUGUC